AGUCGCCACGGGAAUACAGAGGGUGCGAGCGUUAAUCGGAUUUACUGGGCGUAAAGCGUGCGUAGGCGGCUUCUUAAGUCGGAUGUGAAAUCCCUGAGCUUAACUUAGGAAUUGCAUUCGAUACUGGGAAGCUAGAGUAUGGGAGAGGAUGGUAGAAUUCCAGGUGUAGCGGUGAAAUGCGUAGAGAUCUGGAGGAAUACCGAUGGCGAAGGCAGCCAUCUGGCCUAAUACUGACGCUGAGGUACGAAAGCAUGGGGAGCAAACAGGAUUAGAUACCCCGGUAGUCCCUGUCUCUUAUACA
rnacentral:rRNA from 1 species